CCCGUGAUUGACAGCUCUGAUAAGCGGGGAGGCAGGCUGCAAAUUCUGCCAGCGCACGUCACGCUCAACGCUGCCAAUGUACGUCACACUCACCCUGUCGGCCUGGUAUCAGUCAAGAGAGAGGGAGAGAGAGAGGCAGUUAGCGGAAUGAAAGACUGCCGCAAGCCGGAGAGGGAAGUAGAGCGCGGAAGAAGAGGAAAGAGAGAGAGAGAGAGAGAGAGAGAGAGAGAGAGACUGUCAGGCGAGAGCAACGGAGGGAAAAAAAAAGACCGUGGAAACAGUCACACAGGAGAACAAGAGACUCGGACGGAGGAGAGGAAACUCGUGGACAGGAGGAGUUUGUGCCAUAUAGGCAGGUCCAGUGAUGUAGAACCCAGCAGCUAUCGGUCACAAGAAAGCCUUGGCAGUGUCAUUCUGUAAGCGUGGACGCCUGAGAACGUGUUUUCAUCAACUCAACCCCUGACACCAUCAAGAUCCUUCUCGGUAUCGACAAAGAAGACAGAAAGUCAAGCUCCAAGGAACUCCGCGAGGUCAUUCACUGCCUGGAUUCGACCACAGACUUAGGCUCUCGUCUUCGUCCUGUGCGUUCUCCAUCUGUGAGUCAUUCUCAAGAGCGUUCAGUCAUCUCCAGCACGGCCCAAAGCGCUGUCGGCAGUUGAGAGAGGAGAGAGAGAUGAGAGGAAGCAAUGAGACGGAAGAAAGAACGGCAGAAUGAAAAUUUGAAGACUCGAGCUGUUCUCUUGCUCAAAUCUGAUUGGCAGAUUGGUAAGUCUGUUUAUUAGUCACUUAUGAGCCUUUCUGAAGGUUAUGUCAUUAUGCUGGUGGGUGACGUCAAGUGAGUGGUUAUGAUUUUUUUAUUAAAUUCAUUCAGAAGCACUGUUUUAUUCAGAACUGAACAAGUGAGCCUUUAUGAGUGAGUCACACUUACACAAACACACUUUCUUAUUCAGGAAUUU